UCUGGGACAAGCCCUGGAAACGGGGUCUAAUACCGGAUAACACUCUGUCCCUCAUGGGGCGGGGUUAAAAGCUCCGGCGGUGAAGGAUGAGCCCGCGGCCUAUCAGCUUGUUGGUGGGGUAAUGGCCUACCAAGGCGACGACGGGUAGCCGGCCUGAGAGGGCGACCGGCCACACUGGGACUGAGACACGGCCCAGACUCCUACGGGAGGCAGCAGUGGGGAAUAUUGCACAAUGGGCGAAAGCCUGAUGCAGCGACGCCGCGUGAGGGAUGACGGCCUUCGGGUUGUAAACCUCUUUCAGCAGGGAAGAAGCGCAAGUGACGGUACCUGCAGAAGAAGCACCGGCUAACUACGUGCCAGCAGCCGCGGUAAUACGUAGGGUGCGAGCGUUGUCCGGAAUUAUUGGGCGUAAAGAGCUCGUAGGCGGCUUGUCACGUCGGAUGUGAAAGCUCGGGGCUUAACCCCGAGUCUGCAUUCGAUACGGGCUAGCUAGAGUGUGGUAGGGGAGAUCGGAAUUCCUGGUGUAGCGGUGAAAUGCGCAGAUAUCAGGAGGAACACCGGUGGCGAAGGCGGAUCUCUGGGCCAUUACUGACGCUGAGGAGCGAAAGCGUGGGGAGCGAACAGGAUUAGAUACCCUGGUAGUCCACGCCGUAAACGUUGGGAACUAGGUGUUGGCGACAUUCCACGUCGUCGGUGCCGCAGCUAACGCAUUAAGUUCCCCGCCUGG
rnacentral:rRNA from 1 species